AUUGAACGCUGGCGGAAUGCUUUACACAUGCAAGUCGAGCGGCAGCGCGGCCUUCGGGCUGGCGGCGAGCGGCGAACGGGUGAGUAAUGCAUCGGAACAUGCCCAGUCGUGGGGGAUAACACUUCGAAAGAAGUGCUAAUACCGCAUACGCCCUGGGGGGGAAAGCGGGGGAUCGCAAGACCUCGCGCGAUUGGAGUGGCCGAUGUCAGAUUAGCUAGUUGGUGGGGUAAAGGCCUACCAAGGCGACGAUCUGUAGCUGGUCUGAGAGGAUGAUCAGCCACACUGGGACUGAGACACGGCCCAGACUCCUACGGGAGGCAGCAGUGGGGAAUUUUGGACAAUGGGGGCAACCCUGAUCCAGCCAUUCCGCGUGAGUGAAGAAGGCCUUCGGGUUGUAAAGCUCUUUCGGCAGGAACGAAACGGUGGGCUCUAACAUAGUCCGCUAAUGACGGUACCUGAAGAAGAAGCACCGGCUAACUACGUG
rnacentral:rRNA from 1 species